rnacentral:rRNA from 1 species
GACCCGUCUUGAAACACGGACCAAGGAGUCGUCUUCGUAUGCGAGUGUUCGGGUGUCAAACCCCUACGCGUAAUGAAAGUGAACGCAGGUGAGAGCUUCGGCGCAUCAUCGACCGAUCCUGAUGUUCUCGGAUGGAUUUGAGUAAGAGCAUACGGGGCCGGACCCGAAAGAAGGUGAACUAUGCCUGUGUAGGGUGAAGCCAGAGGAAACUCUGGUGGAGGCUCGCAGCGGUUCUGACGUGCAAAUCGAUCGUCAAACAUGGGCAUGGGGGCGAAAGACUAAUCGAACCUUCUAGUAGCUGGUUCCUUCCGA